GUACACAGUUGUCGACUGAUGCCUAGAAUAGUGGAAGCAAUAGCAAAGGAUUCAUUAAAUCUUCAAGGGUGUGCUUUAGCACAGGUGUGGAUUCAUUUUAUUGGCUAAUUGCGCUCUGUUCAUUUCUGCAGGUACAGACUUUUCCUUUUUCUCCACAUCCCUCACUAUUCCUUUUUAUCUCUUCAUCUCUAUGCUGAAGAAGACUUCCGUCUUCACUUCAUUGAUUAAAAAAUUUGAAUCCCAUUAUGUUUACUUUUUAUUAAAAACUUUGAUUUUCUAUCAGAAAAAUAUAAUGAAUGGAGAAAUGUGUGCCAUCUGUGUGCAAUAGCCACUAUUUAAUUGCCCUACUUAAAAAAAUAUUAAUAAACAGCAUUUACAUUUAGAAUUAAUAGAUUUAUGAUAUAUUUGUCUGUUGAAAAAGAUAUCUUCUAACCUAUGCUAUCAGGAAGGCCUAUGGCAGCUACUUACUUAAUUAUUAUUUAUUCUUUCUAUUUUACAACUAAUCACUUAGAUGGAUGUAGAAGUUAGUAGUUUGAAGAGCCAAACUGAAAACUUGAGAAAAUCACUGCAAAACAGCAAUGUUGCUACAUCUUGAGGAGUUUUCAGAGUUAGGAUAAAAAAAAAAAAAAACAACUUACAACGAUAGCUUACUCUGAGUUUUUCAGAUCAAUGAAAUUAUUAAUGCAACAUGUUGGUGCAUGAAAAAAAAAUAGUAUGACAGAUAAUUCAGUAACAAAAUGUGUGUUAAUAUAUACUAUGCUAUUCAUAAAUUUUAAUAGAACUAUUUAUCACAGUAAGAACAUUUAAGGAAUUCUGUAGACUUUCUGCCACUGUGGUAAGAUGGAUGAUGGAUCUGAUGCAACUCAGUGUUUUUAAUAAUUUAUUGGGUCAUGACUUACGGUUUUAUUCAAUUGAAAAUUAUUAGAUGGGUUUGCCCCAGGCAUAGAGCAUGGUAUAUGAAAAGGAAAAUAGAUUAAGCAAACACUCGAUGAGCUUAAUCAUUUCAAACAGGAAAGCAGAUAAAGACACUGACAGAUUUUUCAUUAAUUCAGCAGAAGUUUUUACCUCCACACAACAUAAUCACAAGAUGGGAGUUGUCAGUGAAGUCCUGAAAGUGUUAUGUUUGUAAUGAAUAGUCUGCAUAACCCAUUAUUUUCACACAAAUUAUUUAUUUUCUCCAUGAAAGAGGACAAGGGACAGAACAAAGGGUAGAAGUCUUUCAAGAAUGUUGGCAUGAAAAUAGUCUUCUUCAUCCCAAACCCUGACAUCAAUUUGUGAUUAAACAAUGCCAUUCAGAGUAGUGUUACCUGCUUUCAUCACAAAAUGUAUUCCUUGAAUUUUUACUGAGAACCACUAGCAAUGGCCUCCCACUUAAAUCAUUGCCUAUAAGCUGCAAAUGAAUCCAUUGUCUUACAAUAAAUAUUUAGAUUAUUUGAAAGCAAAUGGAUCCAAAUCAUAAAAUUAUAAGCUGUAUCUCUUGUGCAUUGUUUUUGUAAAAUUAUGGUCUUUUAGAGAAAAGAAGCAUAGAUAGAAGUCAAGGUGGUGAAUAUUGAAUGCUAACACUCUGAUCUUGACGUCUAGAAAUACUUUAGUAAUUCCCCAUAAAUGGCUACAAAAUCAGGAAGUUAGCUGGCAAAAUUGCCAUUUACCAUCCAAUUUUUCUAGUUACUACUUAGCCAGUAAAACUGAAAGUCACCUUUUUAUUUUUAAUUUUUCCAAUCUAUUUUUGCUUGUUUGUUUAUUUGCUUCUUUGUUUGUUUGUUUUCCUUAUGUCCCAACAGAUUUGCUAAUACCUUAUUUCAUGCACAACUCUGACAUUUGCUGGGUGGUGGUUCACUCUAUGGGCUUUGACGUAGCAACACACCUAGUAAAUCUACUCUAGUAAAUCACAGAAAUAGAAGUUCUGUAGAUCAGGAUGUGGGAACUGGAUCAUGCUUCUGAAAAGGAAAAAAAAAAAAAAGAUAGGUCCUUAUCACGACAAGAAAAGUACACCUUUGUUUUUAAAAGAACAUUGACAAAUCUCCAAUCCUAAGUGCUUUGAAAAAAAAAAAAAAAAGGAAAUAAAGAGGAAAAGAAGGUUGUAAUUAUACAUCCUAUGUUAUAAUACAUCCUAUGUUAACUUUUAUGUAUGUUAAGUUUUCUGAAGAGCAGCAGUUACAACCAUGUUAUAGCUCAUGUGAUGUGUUUGGUGUUUGAAUAUCUUUGAGUCUUUAAAUUAAAGCCUUCCUUCUUUUCUGAAGUGUUGCUAUAAAUAGGACAAGGAUUUUGCAGAAGGGAGAUAUAAGUGAGUCGCAGGAAACAACAACAUAACACUUAUCCAGCAAAAGUGGGUGCAAAGUUUCCACAUUCUGUACUUCAGAAUUGUUAAUGUACAUUUCAAAAGUAUGUUAGCUACCUAAUGGCUCUAUAAAUCACAUCUUCCACACUGCAUCAACAGUAGUUGCUGUGAGUGUGUUAAUACUACAAAAGGCAACAUACAUGCCAUAAUAAGAAAAAAAUCAGUAUUGGCCUAAAUUAAAAUAGCUUUGGGCAAAGAUGUACUCUUUUAACUUGCUACAGAACUCAUAGCAACAAACAAUAAUGAACAAUAACAAUAAUGAACAGUAACAAUAAUAACACAACAAUAGCCAGAAUAAUAGCAAUGUUUUUGUGCACAUUUUAUUUAAAACUUCUUGUUUUCUCUCCUUGUGAUGUUGCUGCUUUUAUUUUCCUUUAAAAAUGAGUUUCUAGAAUAUUACUUUAACAUCAGUAAGAAUUUCUGCUCACUUUUUUUUUUUUUUUUUGCAACACUUGGUGAUAUUUCAAUUUCUUUAGAAAUCAUGUAAAUAUUAGUCUUGUUUCUGUUACUUUUUUGCAUGUAUAUAUUAUUUCCAAUAUAUACAUAUAUUUUUUUCAGCUACAGGAUGUGGGAUGGGAAAAGAACAAAACUGCCCGGAGCUAGUGAGCAGAGGAGGUAGGAUAGAAUGCAAUGUGGCAGCUUAAGUUUGCUGCUGCAGUGCAUAUGAAGUAAAAUGGUUAUUAAUGUUAUUCAGUACGGAGACUUGCAUAAGAUAAUUAAAUGAACCCCAAGGAUGCCUGUCAAACUGUCAUAUACUCACAAGGAAAGAAGUCACCAAGUAAAGCUGUCAGUCAUGAUCUGACAUUCUAAAAUCCUUCAGAAAGUGUCAAACAUUCAAAACUAUGCAGUAAUAAACCUGGCAACAGUAAGAUAAGCUGGCCUGCCACAGCCUCAGGAUUCUUUUGCAAACGACACUGCAGUGUGCCUCAAUACCCUUACAUGGAAGAAUCUAGUUUAUUUUUUUAUCUGUUCAAGGAAGAACCACAGACAUGAUUUAUUCUUUCCCACAGCAAGUGCAUUUUCCAAUUUAUAAAUAAGUGACUAUUGACUUACAAGGAACUGGAUAAAUUGACUUAAAAGAGUAGUGCAGGCUGCUGUAAUUUAUGUCAGCUAAAGAUUUAUCUGACUUCUUUCUUUCUUGUUUUUUUUUUUGGACAAAUAAAUGGGAUUACACCAACAGGAAUACAGGACAUGUUUGCUGUUGGUGCUGGAUGAUUCAUAUUAGCAGAGUAAGUCCUUACUGGAAUUAGGGUCGCUUGUAGUAAUUACUUUAAACAGGGAACUAGUAAUGAUCAGAAAAUGGUCAUUGCCUAAUCUAGUAUAUUAACAAUGUCAUUUCUAAAGUACUUCUUAACAGCAACAUCUUUGAGUUGCCUGUGCAAUUUAGAAUCAUUAAAUCUAUUCAACUACUGUCACUGUCUCUUCUUAAAAUAUAUUUAUCUUAUUGACCAGAGAGGUUUAGUUUUUUUCUUCUUCAACUUCUCCCUCCCUGCCCAUGUUCUUUUCUUCCUUUUUUCUUUCCUUCCUUCCUUCCUUCUGUUUCUCUCUCUUUCUGUCCUUUAUUCUUUAUUCCAUAUUCUUCUUCCCCAUCUCUGUCUUUCUUUUUCUUUUUUUCCUGUCCAGUUUCUUUUCUUGACCUAUCUUUUCCAUUUGCUAGAUUUGUUAAUUUGGCAAGGGUCUUAAAAUAAAUGUGUUGCACAUUAUGCCUUGGGGAUGGAAAAAAUUCUGCUUGUUCUUCCAAUUGGAUAAUUUUCCUUCUAAUAAUAAAUUUAAAAGGAGGAGGUUGUAGGAGACAAAAUUCUUUUGGAUAUUUGAAGAAAAUCAAACGUCAACCCAUGUCAAAUCACUUUGUCUCAGAUAAUUUUAUUAAUCUGGAAAUCAAGAGAUCAGUUAGAACCAGUCACCUGACCUGCUUCUAUAGUCACUAUCAGAAAACAAUAUCUGUAGAGAUUCCAUUAAUUCAUCCUAAUCAAGUUGUCUAAAAUAAUCUUUAGAAGAUGUUUCUUCAUUAUGUAUGAAAAAGACUUGGAUAUCUAGCAUAUAUUCAGCUUAUAGAUAAUUCAGUCAUCAGAAGUUAGAGGAUUUUAAACUACCUUUUGUGAGUCCUUUGUGCUCAUAUGAAAGGAUAUUAAUAAGACUCCUGCUACAUUUAAAACCACUUAACUGAUUGUCUUUGGUCUUAGCUUCUCAUCACUGGAGAUGUCUUCAAAUUCAAGUAUCCCUUAUUAAAGAAGCUGUAUAAUUUAAUCAGUCGUUGGCAUUUAAUUAAUGAAUUUUCAUAUCACCCUUUAUAUUAAAACUUCAACCAUUUCUGAUCAAUUAAUUUGUUCAUUCCAGCAGGUAAGCAUAGACAUGCAAGCAUAAAGAACAUGCUGAUAAUCACAGUUUUUAAUAGUUUGCUUUAAUACUCAAAAAGCACUUAUUCUGCCCUUCUGGAAUUCAUGAUUGAGGAGUCCCAAUUGUUAAAAUUCACUUUUGAAAAUCUGUUCAAUGAAAGUUCAAUUUAAAAAUUUCAAAGGAAAGAUUAGUAUGUAGAACUCUCAGCUACCAGAAAUUUAGAGUAAUGAUGCACAGAUUGCAUAAUGCAGAGUGUAUUUGCUUUCUAGUCUUGCAACAUGAAGACAUUAGAUGUGAAUUGAACACUUUGAAUCAAUAAGCAUAUUAAUAUCACUGUGUAGCCUGCAUAGUUUUCUAAGGUAUUUACAUAAAUGAUGUGUCAUACUACGGCCUCAUAUAAAGUGGUGAAGUCCUUUAUAAGAUAGUUCUAAUGAAAUAUCAGUGCAAUAUUGAGCAAAUAGAUAGGUAACUGGUGAAUUCAAUUCUUGUUUAUUGACACAUAAUUUACUAAUAUUUUGUGGCAUGGGAGGAUCAAAGUGAACUGGUGCUGGUAAUCAGGGUUGCAAUCCAUGACUUAGUGUUAACAUCUGACUAGUCAAAUGAUCAAAAUCACUUCUCCUUUCUCACUUUUCAAAAACUCUCAGCCUUCUAACAUACAUAUUUAGCAUAACACCACUUUAAAAGGUUAGCAAAUUGUUUCUGAAAGCACAUCUCAUCUUCACAGAAAUUUGCAGUUUCUAUAUCAGCAAAGUUUCAAGGUAAGCUGUUUGCAUUACUUAGCAAUUAAAAUGUGCUUUUUAGUUCAUAUUGAUCUCCCUACAGGGUUUUAACGUCUAUCAUCACUAUAAAUCCAUGUUUCUUAGCCAGUAAACAAUGACUUCUUUGUUUUCUUGCUGAACUAAUCGCUUUUGGGGAAUGAGAUUUCAGUUUGUUUUAAUCUUUUCAGCCUAUGGCUAUUUUCCUCAGUCAUUAUAACUCAAACUUAAGUUUACUUUGAGUAGUUAUUUAUGCACAUGUAUUUUUUUAAUCCAGUCCUUUCAGCACAAUUUUUCUUCAGCCAUCAGGCUUAGCUAGUACAAAACAGUGAAAAAGAUGCUGCUUUCAGCACUGGUGAGUUUUCUAUUACAUCCCUCAUUAAAAUAGAAUUAAAAAUAGAUAACAUUAUAGGUAUGUUUGCUGGUUCAAAGUCCUAUAGAUAUAUUUUCCUGACACUUGAACUGGUAAUUCUUGCAGUCUUUUCUUAGUUGCCAUUGGUGAUUGUGAUUUUUAGCGUAUGAUAGUGCCUUACCAUUGCUUUCCAUAAUUAAAUUUGAACAUUACAAUGGAAGGCUUUGCCAGUCCCAAGGUGUAAACUGGCUCUACAGAAAGAUUGUAAAGAAGUAAAAAUCAACUCCCUGAACAAAUGCUGCACUGUGCUAUAAGAUAAUGAUCUGCAUGAUAAAUUGCCUUCAUAUUUAUAAUCUGCUUUUUGAUCAAGUUCCAGAAACACUGAAAUAAAAAGCCAACUCAAAUUUCCUUUAAGCUUGGAUAAUGAAUUGACUCAAGUUGUCACUUAGCCCCAGAAAAUCUGUCACGUAUGUUCAGUUUCUUUUUGUGCAUGUGUGUGGUUGUGAUGCUAAACAGCAGCCUAAAAUCUGAUGGCUACGGUAUGCCUUGACUGGGAGGAGGGGAAGCCUUAUGGGAAUGGAGUCCUACUUCACAGAAACAAAAGGAAAGUUGUUUCUUAUCUUAACAGCUGCAGGCCUGGGGUUUAAAAGCAAGCAUUACAAACCCCAUAAAGUGUCUCUGAGACAAAAAUGUACAUAAAAUGUUAAUCUUACUGUUUAUAGUGUAGAUGAAAUAGUAAAGCUAAUGAAUCUGGAGAAGAAGGUAGGGUGAUAUAAAGUAGUGUGACCUGAGCACUGGAUCCAGAGUGUGCUUCAGGUUUUUGUUUUUUUAAUAAUAAAACUAAUAUACUUAGGCUUCAUAGCUCAUAAAAUUCAGUAUUUUUAGGAAUAUUUUUAUUUUUCCCAGGUAAAGGCAAAACGUUAAAUACUUAUAUCAAAGUAAUUCUGUUCUCAGCCCCUACUCAUAGAGUCAUACUAGAAGAGCUAAAGAAAGGAAAUGCUUUGGGCUUCUUUCAUCAAAAUUUCCAUUAAAAUCUGCAUUUCUCUCUUCUUUUCUCCUAUUAUCUUGGUUCCUUUUCUUCAUAUUUCCUAUCUUUCCCAUACUUUGUAUUAUUUUGUGUGUUUCUUCCAUCAGAUUUUUUAAUCCCUGCUACCUCCUCUCCCUCUCCUAGUUUCUCUGUCACUUUUUUUUUUUUUUUUUUGGAAGCUCUAUCUGCAUAGAUCAAAUGAGUUCAUUUUCUUGUAGUCUGAACUCAACUAAAACUUUUUUGUGCCACAGACUAAAAUGCAAUCUUCUGUACAGAGAAAAUAACAAUUCAAAAAUAGAACAGAGACCAAGAGAGGCUUUUAUGUUAUUAGUUAGGAAGCUAAAUAAGUUACUUAAUUUCAAAAGAUUGUAAAUAAAUGCCACUGGCUUUUAGCUCUGUGCCUACAUCAUCACUUUGCUGGAAAAUGAAGCCACUCUUUUAGAAGAUAUUUAUUUUCAUACAGGGAGAAGGGAGGUUAUACCAUUGUAUAUAUCUAAUAUUUUAUCAUAUCAUAUUUUAUCAUAUAUCGUAUUUUAUCAUAAUUUUCAUCUGGCCAUACCAGCAUAGAGCAUCAGGAUUUCUAAGAACUUUUGCUUGGAGGCCAUAUGGAAAGGAGGGCUGUUAUUCAGCUACUGCCAGAAAUGGGAGAGCAGGAAGGGAUAAAUGUUUUCACCCCCUCCCCCCAGCGUAUGUAAGUGGCCAACACAAGCAAUAUUUGCAGAAGGAAAACAAAAACAUAUCCUUUCAGAAAUAGAGAUUUUCCUCUUGAAAAACUAGAGAAAUGUGACAUGUUUCAGCAUGAAGGUCAGAGAUAGAACUCUGAUGUCCAAGCAGAAAACCAUCCCUCAUUAUUUAUCCACCUAUCCACACACUAAAGACAUUUGAUAUUACAACAACAAAUUCUUUCCAGGAAGAAUUUCAACCUGUUCAAAGAAAAAUUACUAAUCAUGUAAUUACUUACUUUAGAUUCCUAAAGGUACUUUCUAGGUUCUAUGCAAUGAAUAUCUGAGAGAAUAUGAGUUGGUGGUUAUGUUUGACUUAGUUUAUUUAUCUGAUAUAUCCAAAUGAACAGUCAUACGUAUACGUAUAAAAUAUCUCUUAAUUUCUGCUCAUUUGCGCUUUCUAUAAGGAAUGUAUAAAGAAUGAAUCAUAAAAUCAUAGAAUCACCAAGGUUGGAAGAUACCUCCAAGUCAUCCAGUCUAACCAUCCAGCUAUCACCAGUAUUUCCCCAGGAAACCAUGUCCCUCAGUACAAUACAGUAUUUCCCCACCAAACCAUGUCCCUCAGUACAAUAUCUAAAUGUUUCUUGAACACUUCUAGAGACGGUGACACAACCACAUCACUGAGAAGCCUGUUCAAGCACUUAACUGCUCUUCACAGAAGAAAUUUUUCCUAACCUCCAUCCUGAUUCUCCCCUGGCACAACUUGAGGCCAUUCCCUCCAGUCCUAUUGCUAGAUACAUGGGAAAAGAGGUCAACCCCCACAUUGCCACAAUCUCCUUUCAGGGGGUUGUAGAGAGUUAUGAAGUUUCCCCUGAGCCUCCACUUCUCCACACUAAACAAUCACAGUUCCCUCAGCCACUCCCCUCAAGACGUGUGCUCUAGACCCUUCAACUGCUUCUUUGCCCUUCUCAUGGACACACUGCAGGGGUCUCGAUGUCUUUCUUCUACUGGGGAGUCCAAAACUAUACACAAUACUCAAGGUGUGGCACUAGUGAUGAGUACAAAGGACUGCACUGGUGAAGUCACACCCUUAAAUGAUUUGAAUCCUCUUAAAAAGCAAAAAAUAAUAAUACAAAUAAGAAUUUAAUCUUUAGAAUUAAUGAAGUCAUCUAAAGAAGUAACAGAGAAGAGUGAAGAAGAAGGGAACAGUAAAAAAGGGAAUUAAUGAAAGAUGUGAGAAAAUUACCUAUAGUUUCUCUCAUCGAAAGAUUUUUAGUAACCCACUGUUUUGCAGCAUUGAACGUGCCAACAAUAUUUCUGCUACAGACAUAAAAAUGGAGGGUAAGGUAAGUAUAACUUCUUCUUUUCUUUCUUUCUUUUUUUUUUUUCCUUCUCUUUCUAAUAUUCCUCCAGGAUUGGAGGAAUAUGGAGGAAUCUUAUGGUCUGUAAAGUCUUCCAAAGACAUGAAAUUUAAUUUCCUGUGAAGGGAGUAAUUUUUGUCUCCACUUACUAUGAAGGCAAAAUUAAACAGAUGGGACAUUUCUUAAAUGAAUGGUGAAAGUGAAAGGAGAGAAUAUAAUUCUCAAGAGAUCACAGUUAAAACUAGUUAGAAUGGGUCUUCUACUUGGAGAAACCUGAGCAGACAUGACUGACUUCAGUAGUAUUUUAAAUAAUGAACACUGUGGAAAAAGCUCCAAAUCAUCAUUUUCCUUUCCAGAAAAGCCCCCAGAGAUUCCGAACUGUAAUUUCUGCUAUCUUUUAAAAAUUACUUAUGUUUACUGAGAAACUACCAUGAGGGAUAGUAACCUUUACAUCUUCGAGGGUUUCUGUCUACAGAGACUUUACAGUUUUAUACAAUAUAAUAACCACUUGAAGACUUUUAGACAAAAACAAUGACUUGUAUCAACCUCAGCAAGGUGAAAAGGACCUGCAGAUUCUAAUUUUACACAGUGGAAUAAAGUCCUGACUGUGAAACUUGCUGUUACUGAACCAUUGGUAGUAUAACAAAGCAUAUCCUGAAGAAAGGUUGUUCUUUUCAAUCAUAUAGUAGAUUUAUUUUCCAGAGGCACAAAGAAAGUAGAGGAGCCAGCUCAUGAACAUGUGUAAAAGGCAAAAAAUCUGAGACAACUUUACUGGUUGUUCUGCUUUUAGGCAGAAUUAUUUUUAGAUAGAUUUAAUUUUCUUGUAACUGGUUUGGUGCUGUGUUUUGCAUUUAGGAUGAGAGUAAUGUUGAUAACACACCAAUGUUUUGUUGUUGCAGAGCAGCACUUACACUGGGUAAUGAAUCUUUCAGAUUCUUAUGCUGUCCUGACAGUAAGGAGCUGGGGUUGCAUGCACAAGGAGCUGGGAGGUGUCAGAAUCAGGACCCAGAGAGGCCAAAGAGAUAUUUCAUGGCAUCACGUGGAACAAUAAAACUGGGGGAUGCUGCUCAGGGUGAAGCCAGUCACAAGUCAAUAAGUGUAUCCAAUGUAUAGAGAUGACAGAGUGAAAAGGACUUGGAGAAGUAAAAGAUAAGAGUAUAACUAUCUUUGUGGCUGUCAGGUGAGGUCCCAGAUGACUGGAGGAAGAGUCACGUCACUCCCAUUGAUAAGAAAGGAAGUAAUGAGGACCUGGGGAACUACAGGCUGCUGCUCUGCCUCUCCGAGUACAUGGUUCUCGGCGGCAGACCUUCAAAAAUUUGUUGUAGAAGGACAUCUAGUGGCACAAGGACUAUGAACGCCAUGGCAGCCAGAAUGACUGUCAGAGCCCACGGUUCCCUGCAGAGAACGCAGAGGGAUGACCAAGUACAGGGAUAUGAAUUUUACAUGCUCUCAGUGACUGCAAGGAAGAGCAGAGUAACUCAACUUAUCAGAACAUUAGCCAGCACUGCAUUUAAUCACCAAAGCAGUAUUCGCCAGAUGCAGCAUCUGCAAUGUGCUAAUUUGGGAUAAUAAACUAGAAAAUACUUCUGGAGAGAUGGGAGUAUUGCAAAGGACUGACAUCUCACACAUAUGGGAAUGUAAUCAAGAAAAAAAAAAAAUACAGAACACCACAACAGAACCCAAAAGGCAUCUUGAUAGUAAGGCAUAAGGGUUCCUGUACAUGCAUAACCUCAAGAGGAGCUCUCAUCAUGCAGCCUGCUACUAUGCAAAACAGCUCAAGAGGCUCUUGGGCUGCUCACUAUUUAUAAGUGCAAGUCCAGGUCAAAGGAGGAAGCUGAAAGAAAGAAGACAGAGGGGGAGCACAAUAUCACAGGUGCUUGUACAUGCUGAUAAGGUUCUUCCCUGCCCUGUGCUUUCUAUUCUGCAGGUUGAACAGCUACCUCAGCUGUU